rnacentral:rRNA from 1 species
UUAAAUUGAAGAGUUUGAUCAUGGCUCAGAUUGAACGCUGGCGGCAGGCCUAACACAUGCAAGUCGAACGGUAACAGGAAGCAGCUUGCUGCUUCGCUGACGAGUGGCGGACGGGUGAGUAAUGUCUGGGAAACUGCAUGAUGGAGGGGGAUAACUAC